UCGCACCUACCGAUUGGAUGGUCCGGUGAAAUCUCGGGAUUGUGGGUUUGUCUUUGGACAGACUUGCGAGAACUUGCUUAAACCUUAUCAUCUAGAGGAAGGUG
rnacentral:rRNA from 1 species